rnacentral:lncRNA from 10 species
GUUCAAGCGGCCGCAGAGCGGCCCAGAGUUCGCAGGUCUGGGGCUCUCUUCCCAGAGAGCUCGUAGGGGAGGACAGUCAAGGGACUCAAGCGUCUCUCUUGACUCCCCUUCUCUCGCUGUGCAGUGGCGGCGCCGAGGGGUCGACGCUCAGGGCUAAUCUCUAUGAGUCACCCUCGAGGCCCCGGGUAAUAUUGGGUGGAUCACAAGAACUAAUCUUUCAUGAUUUGGAAACCGGAAGGAAAGAAGCACUUUUGUAGCUGACUUACCUCAAUGACAUGACCAGUGUCUGAGCCUACAACUGCGCUAUCUUCCCUGGAUUUUUCUUCACCUUUUCCUUACUCAUGAGCCAGACUUGCAGCUUAUGAGCCAACAGAAUUGAAGAUGAAUGCCAAACCUCCAAGUGAGAUGGGGCAGAAAGACUGAAGGAGCUUGGACUCAGAGAGUACUGGAUUGGGUGAACCACUGGGAGUCAUCACCUGCCUCUGAAUAUCAUGUUAUGUGAAAAAAAGAUCCCCUAUCUGUUGAAGCCACUGUUGGCCAGGUUUUCUGUUAU